ACUGGGAGGGCAGAGCAUCCCCCAGGAACUGGUCCAGGGAUGGCUGCUCUGUCCUACAGAAAGAGUCCAAAAAUCAGGAGUGUCUGGAGAGGAAAUUUGUUCAAUAGGGAUCCAGUACGCAAAAUGAGAAAUUUCCAAGAAUUUUUGUGAUAAAGUAUGCACAAGAUACAAGACAAGACACAAGACAUAAGGCACAAGACAGGCAACAUUUCUGCUCCAAAUUGUUUGCAGGCUGCUUCUGUGUGCAACCCAACAGCACUGUGCAGUGGAAGAACCGCACUUCUGAUAGGAGAUCUGGAACCAAACUUCCUGCAAAUUGUUCCCUGUGAACUAAAAAAUUAUGUUAUGAAGGAGAUUAUUUUCAAAGUGA